rnacentral:rRNA from 1 species
GACGAACGCUGGCGGCGUGCUUAACACAUGCAAGUCGAACGGAAAGGCCCUGCUUUUGUGGGGUGCUCGAGUGGCGAACGGGUGAGUAACACGUGAGUAACCUGCCCUUGACUUUGGGAUAACUUCAGGAAACUGGGGCUCAUACCGGAUAGGAGCUCCUGCUGCAUGGUGGGGGUUGGAAAGUUUCGGCUGUUGGGGAUGGACUCGCGGGUUAUCAGCUUGUUGGUGGGGUAGUGGCUUACCAAGGCUUUGAGGGGUAGCCGGCCUGAGAGGGUGACCGGGCACAUUGGGACUGAGGUACGGCCCAGACUCCUACGGGAGGCAGCAGUGGGGAAUAUUGCACAAUGGGCGGAAGCCUGAUGCAGCAACGCCGCGUGCGGGAUGACGGCCUUCGGGUUGUAAACCGCUUUCGCCUGUGACGAAGCGUGAGUGACGGUAAUGGGUAAAGAAGCACCGGCUAACUACGUG